UUUUGAAAAGGUGGCCCUUAAUUUAAUUAUCUUUAUGAAACAGUACUCAAUUGUAUUUUAAUAAUACCCAAAUCAUAAACUCCAAAAUAAAAAUUAACUUAUGUUAAAGUGAUUUAAAAUCUUCAAAGCAUUUCAUUUUGUUCCUGUUAAGUCUAUGACCUUAACCCAUAACCUGCAUGUUAAGAGCGAAUCUCAUGUUCUCGCCCAGUUAUGGAUUCUUCAGCCUUCUACAUUCCCUGGGCUUCACGACUGCACUGUUAACCCGUUUCUGGAAGAGUAAUGUAAGAAACUGAGUUGAGCUCAAGCCAUGGAGUUAUGUAACACUUCCUAAUGGACUGAAGACCUAAAGAUGGUCAGCCGUGAAUCUUUAGGACCUGCUGUCUGCAUGCUGUGCAUGUAUGUCCUUCAGUCUGACUGGGGGUGGGAGGUCAUGCUACACUGGGUGGUGCUUGUGUGCUCUUUAUUUCAUCUAGUUCUUGAAAUUUCACAUGCUUUAUCUCAUUUAUUUUCAAAACCACUAGAAAGUAUAUAAUGGUCAGUUUUCCAGGUUUCUAAAUCAAGAAAAAAAAGCUUGUAUAAAUUUUCUCUUUGUGCAUCAUAAAAAAUAUAAAGAAGGCUUCAUUGUGGGGAAGUCACUUUCAAGGAGUAUGACUAAUUAAUAUCUCAGAGUUACAGUCAUAACAUGUUUAAUUAAGGUUAAAUAUGAAAAGUAAAUAAGAAGGAAAUGGAACUUUUUGUAGUUGGACCACACCCCAAUAAGAUAUAGAAAAGAACCUAUCAGGAUGCAUGCAUGCUAGACAAGAAAACGGUAGACAGAUUGCAUUAGUCUGAAUAAUUUCCCUUUUCAUGAACUAUCUGUUAACCAGGGCCACCAUAAGCCCUAAAUCAACUGGCAAGUGCUUGCCAUAGGAGCAUAAUGUAGGUUCAUGGUGUAAGGUAUAGAAGAAGCUCCAGAAAUGUGUGAGAAAGAAAAUGAGUGAUUGCCCAUGAACAAUUAAAGGGUAACUCAGGUGCUAUUGCAGAGACUAACUCAAAAGAACACUACUUCUUUUUAAUGUCUAAAUUUUUCAAUUAUGUUUUGGAGUGGGGCAUGGAUGAGUCAAACAUAUAUAUCAAGGUCAGAGGGUGGUUUAAGAGAAUAUGUGAAUUGGGGUGGACUCCUUCCACUGUGGGGUCCAGAAGGAUCAAACUCAAGUUGUCAAGCUAAACACAGCGUUUUUAACCCUCUGAGUGAAUAAUUUUCUUAAUUUUUGAAAGUCCUUAAAAAAAUAAAAUAAAAUAAAAAAGAAAGUCCUUGAUUACAAGUUAGAAAUCCAAUACAGUACUAGGUGUUGGACUUCAGUUUUCCAAAAUGUAAGUUGUUGUGGAAUUUUGAAAAUUCUAAAUAUCUGAAAUUUGGGUAGAUUGGUUACUACCAUCUGUGAAGCACAUAAUCACACAUGCACACAUAAACAAUCAUACAUAUGCACACACACACCCACAAUCACAAUGUAAAAUAUGUUUCCUCCUAUGAGUCAUCAAUAAAAAGGCUUGAGAAUCAUAAAGAUCUGUAGAUCAAGGUAAGAUCUGCCCCGAUUGGCAUUUAUCUACCCUUUGCUUAAAAUUCAAGAGUAGUGAGACUAGACUCCCUGAACGUGACAGCCUUCUCAUAACUGACUCACAACUCUUCAUCUCAGCUAACACUUCAUUGUGUUUCCUCAGUUUUCAAAUAUUACACACACACACACGUGCACACAUCACAUUGUACAUGUAAAAGUGAGAGAAGAAAUUUCAAGGUCAGUUUUUGCUUGGCAGUAAGCACUUUUGCCCACUGAGCCAUGUCACCAGCCUGGCCUCCUCACCACUGCAGUGCCUGAAGUAUUAUAUAUUGUAUUCUCUGUGGUUUAGUCUACAAGCUAAGGGAUCAAACUGGCCUAGAGCACUCGGGUGUCUUGAAGCUCCAGCCAGAGGCCUUUAGAAAGCAUACUAGCUGACUGUCAGGAUGCUCUUGGGCCACCCUUUGCUCUCACAUGGAAACACGCCCGCUAGCUGUGCUGUAAGUGAUCCUUGCAGCAAGUAUGUGCAGUAGUUGUCCUAGAGCAUCGGCUUUACGUCAAUGCUUAAUACGACACUCAGAGUUAGGUCUGUUUAAAUGCCUGCUACUUCCUUACUCCAUAAGUACCUCAAAACACAGUAAUAGCAUCUCUUUCUAUGCAAACCUCUGUACAUAAAAAGGUUUACAUUUUAAAACAAACAUUUUUUUUGAGCUUUAUCCAAAUUCAAAAAAAGCAUCUGAAAAUUUUAACAGCUGAAAAACACUUUCUCCUUGCUGGGAAAACUUAAACCUUGCUAGGUUUUAUGC
rnacentral:lncRNA from 1 species